rnacentral:rRNA from 1 species
AGAGUUUGAUCAUGGCUCAGAGCGAACGCUGGCGGCAGGCUUAACACAUGCAAGUCGAGCGGGCGUAGCAAUACGUCAGCGGCAGACGGGUGAGUAACGCGUGGGAACAUACCUUUUGGUUCGGAACAACACAGGGAAACUUGUGCUAAUACCGGAUAAGCCCUUACGGGGAAAGAUUUAUCGCCGAAAGAUUGGCCCGCGUCUGAUUAGCUAGUUGGUGAGGUAACGGCUCACCAAGGCGACGAUCAGUAGCUGGUCUGAGAGGAUGAUCAGCCACAUUGGGACUGAGACACGGCCCAAACUCCUACGGGAGGCAGCAGUGGGGAAUAUUGGACAAUGGGCGCAAGCCUGAUCCAGCCAUGCCGCGUGAGUGAUGAAGGCCCUAGGGUUGUAAAGCUCUUUUGUGCGGGAAGAUAAUGACGGUACCGCAAGAAUAAGCCCCGGCUAACUUCGUGCCAGCAGCCGCGGUAAUACGAAGGGGGCUAGCGUUGCUCGGAAUCACUGGGCGUAAAGGGUGCGUAGGCGGGUCUUUAAGUCAGGGGUGAAAUCCUGGAGCUCAACUCCAGAACUGCCUUUGAUACUGAAGAUCUUGAGUUCGGGAGAGGUGAGUGGAACUGCGAGUGUAGAGGUGGAAUUCGUAGAUAUUCGCAAGAACACCAGUGGCGAAGGCGGCUCACUGGCCCGAUACUGACGCUGAGGCACGAAAGCGUGGGGAGCGAACAGGAUUAGAUACCCUAGUAGUCC